AACGAACGCUGGCGGCAUGCCUAACACAUGCAAGUCGAACGAGACCUUCGGGUCUAGUGGCGCACGGGUGCGUAACGCGUGGGAACCUGCCCUUAGGUUCGGAAUAACUCCCCGAAAGGGGUGCUAAUACCGGAUAAUGUCUUCGGACCAAAGAUUUAUCGCCUUUGGAUGGGCCCGCGUUGGAUUAGCUAGUUGGUAGGGUAAAAGCCUACCAAGGCGACGAUCCAUAGCUGGUCUGAGAGGAUGAUCUGCCACACUGGGACUGAGACACGGCCCAGACUCCUACGGGAGGCAGCAGUGGGGAAUAUUGGACAAUGGGCGAAAGCCUGAUCCAGCAAUGCCGCGUGAGUGAUGAAGGCCUUAGGGUUGUAAAGCUCUUUUACCCGGGAUGAUAAUGACAGUACCGGGAGAAUAAGCGCCGGCUAACUCCGUG
rnacentral:rRNA from 1 species